rnacentral:lncRNA from 1 species
AUACAACAGAGAAAUGCAUAAUGUCCAGUGAAUUUAUUACAGUUCCAAAGUCGGUCGCGCAUGGUGGCUCACGCCUGUAAUCUCAAAACUUCGGGAGGCCGAGGCGUGUGGAUCACGAGAUUUCAAUAUGAUUAAAGUAUGUUUCCAGUCUCAAUAGAAAUCGAUGCCAAUCCAGAAAUACAAGCAUUAUUCUAAUACUUCUCACACAUUACAGCAGGAGUGAGGACACAGCAAAAGUGAGACAAGGAAGAGAGAACAAA